rnacentral:tRNA from 1 species
GGGUGCUUAGCUCAGUUGGUAGAGCAGCGCCCUUACAAGGCGUAGGUCGGGAGUUCGAGCCUCUCAGCACCCACCA